CUCCUGCUGGCCACACACCCAAUUUGCAUCUGCAAGAAGCCCCAAGAUAAUCUGCCAAAUAUCUCUGAAGGAAUGGAGAGUGUUUAUGACUGAUACCAGGUGAAAAGCCUAGGAAGUACUCUGAAGACUGGAAGCCACCGAAGGGCUCUGGAUUAUCCACAGAUCAAGCACAGCACUGGAAACAGGAAUAUAGUCUUCCUAAAGGCCAACAAGUAUACCUCAACUCUGACUUGGAAGGAACGCUUUUGAGGGGUUGGAGUGUUUCACUUCCAAUGCUUAUUUAAUCGCUGGUCUCUUUGCUGUGUCCGCCACCAAAAGUGCACCUCAGCACCAGUGAUGAUAGUGGGUUUUAUGCACUAGAGUGACUCCCAUUGACUUCAGUGGGCUUUGAAUCAGCCCCUAAGAACUGGACUUGGUAUGUUUGCUAAAUAUUUCUGAAGAGCCAGAAAAGGGAGCAAGGGAGCACAGGAUUUUGAGACUGCAUUUUAUUUUAUGUGGGUAUUUCUGCUGCAACCCUAAAAAUAAAGGCAAAGAUUUUCAA